UGGGCGCGGAGGUGGGAGAGGCGCUGCACGAGUCGCAUCGCGUUUGAAGGAGUUGCGGCCAGGGCAAAACCUCCCCAGCGCGCCCUUCGAGGAAAGGGGGCUCCCACCGCCUUUCAUUAUUUGCCAAGAAACGUAAGCCCAGAGAGGUGUUCCAGGAUGGGAAUAUUCACAGUCCUGUGUUAUCCAGUGUCAGCAGAGGGAUGGGAACACCUUGGACUGAGGCAGUUCUUCACCUUUUCAGGGUGGCAAGAACAGCAGCAGUGAGAGAUUUAUCCUUGAGGAGGGGAGGAUGCAGGGGGAUCCAACAGCAGCCAUGCAGUACCUACGGGAGGUUAUUGAGAAGACAGCCAGACUCUUCAGAGCAGUGUAUGGUGAGAGGAACAGAGACAACAGGUAUUAGGUAAGUAAAGAGAAGUUCAGACUGAUGAUAAAGACACUUUUUUCCAUGAAGGCAGCCAAGCAUGAGCAGCUUGCCCAGAGAAGCUGUGCCAUCUCCAUCCUCUGAGGUUUUCAAGCCCCUACUGGACAGUGAGAUCUUACAGUGGACCUUGCUUUGAGCAGAAGGUUGAACAAGAGGCCUGCUGGGGUCCCCUCUGACCUGAAGUGUUCUGCCACACUAUGAUGAGGUCAACAUGGGUGGGCUCAGAGGAAUGGCAACACUGCAGGACUGCUCCACCUUCUCACAAGAUGAACUCCAACAAGCAGCUAUUCGGGUUCCUGAAGGCUGGAAGUAGGUGGCUGGGCCAGGCUAAGGCCAUGGAUCACCAGAACUGGCUUCACAGAAUCAUAUAAUAGAAUCCUAGAAUAAUUUGGGUUGGAAGGGACCUAUAGGCCAUCUUGUUCCACUACCCAGCCAUGUGCAGGGACACUUUCCACUAGCCCAGGUUGCUCCAAGCCCUGUCCAACCUGGCCUUGGACACUUCCAGGGAUGGAGCAGGCACAGCUUCUCUGGGCAACCUGUGCCAGGGCCUCCCCACCCUCACUUCCUCUGUUGUGAUUUUUGGAGUUACCUUUUAGUCAAGCUUUUUCACAGCAAUGCCAGUGCAGUCACGGGUGCAGUGAACAGGCAGCAGCACUAGGAGGAGGUCAGGGAGAGAGAGGCUGGACCAACAGCUGCUGCAGGAGCUGGUACACCAGGACAUGGCCUGAAAAGCAACGGGUCCUAAAAGGAUUGUGGGUUCUUUGGAAUUCCUUGCUGGAUCACUGAAAUCUGGUCCAGGAUAGCAGGGGUCAAAUUAAAUCACAGCCUUUAUAGAAACAGCAAGACAUGGACAGAAAGGGCUCCUAACUCCUCUGGGAAGGAGGAGAGUCAUAGGGAGUCUUCCACCUUUGCACAAAUGUCACAGAAUCACAGAAUGGCCUGGGUUGGAAGGGACCUUAAAGAUCAUCUCAUUCCAACCCCCCGCUGUGGGAGGAACACCUUCCACUGGACCAGGUUGCUCUGAGCUCCUCCUCUUCUGCACUAAGACAUGGGGUUUGAUAGAGCCCACACCCCAUCCAUGGCAUCUCCUGGGCAUGUGUCCCAUCCCAGGACAGUCCCAGGUAUCAGAAUGAAGCAGAAGGAGAACCACAAGGUCUGGCAGCUGCCCGGCUGUGCCUGAGCCAGAGGGACCCAGUGGGAUGCAGAGAGAUGCACUCAGUGCCAUCCCUGCUGUGCUGCAGGCCAGUCUGGAGCACUGGGGCCUCGGGGGACCACAGGGAGGCUGCAGUGCUUGAGUCAGUGCCUCUGAGCUCAGACUCUCCUAAAAAACCUGGGGACCACAGUGGCUGGGAAGGCUGGGGGUGUGAUGUGAUGCUCAGCACAGCCGCGGUUCCUCCCUCCGUGUUUGCUGUGACCUCCUUGCAAGGCAGCUUUUGGCACUGAGUUUCACAUCCUCUCCAGAUCUGCUGGCUAUGGCAAAACAAAAUUGGCUCUGCACAAGCUCCCAGGCUGCACACACGCACUUCACUGCUGAGGAGAUGGAGAGGGCUAAAAUUCCUGGUUGCUCACAGGUACCUGUCAGCAGGGCAAACCAUACCUGGGAGGGUGCUCAGGGUUCCUUCAGCUCGCUCAGCACCCCGAUUCCAGCUCAGCUUCCCCCUUCCAGCUCAGCUCCCCUCCGGGAUGUGCUCUGCUUUGAGUGGGGAGUGCUGGUUCUUUAGCAACUCGACGUCCAGAAAAACCUGCAGUCACGCAACUAUAUAUAGCCCGAGAGAGGCCGUGAAUGUGGUGACGCAGUCUGGAAGUGCUUCCUGGCUGUUCUCCAGCAGCUGGGAGCAAGGCACAUGGCUUUGGCUUUUUUAGGGGCAGUGGUGUGCAGGGGAGGUGGGGGCUUGGCAGCAUGGUGGGCUCAAGGGGGGAAUUCAUCUUCUUGUGGCCCCGAGUGCAGGGCUGGUGGGGUGAGCCAGCAGAUGUGGUGUUGGGGCUUGGAAGUGGUUUCAGUGGGACAGAGACCUGAUCCAGGAAUCACUCAGCUGAAACUUCCUGGUAGAUGGGUCUUGGAGCCAAGUCCUGAUAUGGAGACUCCUGAUACUUCACACUAUGGCUGGGGACCCCCUUUAGCCCCAAAACAGGGGUGAGGGCUCUCAGUGCUGGCACUCCUCGGAGAUCACAGGACUGGUUCUGGUCUCACCCCCUGGUUUCUUCCAGUCUGAGGACUGUAGAGUUCCCUGGGCUGCAAGAACUCAUCAGAAGGGAUGCACAGACCAUCACCACCAUUUGUGGCUCCAUCAGGGCCAAACCAGGAGGAGCAGAGCACAGCAAGGAGCCAGGUAACCUCAGACCCCCUAUACAUUGCUCAGAGGGCAGGUAAUAAACUGGUGGAGACCUUGGACUGGACACCACGCUCAGCCAGGGAGGCAAAGCUGACUCAGACUAGUUGCUGGUUGCUGGGAUGGAGUCACUGGGGACUGACACCUUGCUGGGUGCCACACUCAUCCUGAAAUGCAGGGGUGGUCAGGCUUGGCCACCUCUGCCUCUCUGGCAGCUGCUGGGAACACCCCCAGGCAGGACCAUGGCACUGUGUGUGCCCUUCCUCUUUUCCCCAUGAGAGCUCUCCAAAGAGGGAACCGGGCACAGGAAAGAGCAUCUCCAAACUGGCCUCCAAACCAGUCCUUGUCACCUCCCUGCUCCAGAAACUGGACUCCACACUGGAGGGGAUCUCUGUGCCAGCAGCUCCUGCAUUGACCUCCUUCCUCACUCAGCCAGAUGCUGCUGCCCCCUGAGCCCAGGGAGCUCCCAGGGCUGGGCAUGGCAUGAGGGAUGGGGUGGUCUGCUGGCUGGUGGGAGCUGCAGGGCUUUGUCUGUAGCCCUGCUCAUGACCCAGACCCAUGCUUUGUGCCUGGCUGUCUAGUGGGAACCUCAGAUGUCCUUUCCAAGCCAAAUGGUAGGUUGGCUUGACAGGAUUCCACCUGUCCAAAUUCUGUCUGCUCCUUCAAGCCUUUUGGGGUGUGCCUGGGGGUGGUCAUCCUGGUCAGGCCCUCAGUGUGCACUCCAAAGAGGGAAAUCUGGCCCUGACCCCUGCUGCAACCUGUCCUCAAGGAGGGAGUUCUGCAGAGAGAUGGUUCCUGUGCCAAGGGAAAGGCAGGAUGUUGUCAGAGCAGGCCCUCACAUCCAGGCUGUGCUGGGAGCUGCAGUCAUCACCCCUCCGUGUCUGGGUGUGCAACCUGGUCUGCAGGUUGCUUUUCCAUGGACAGUCUUUGCCAUGAUAAAAACUUGAUUGUUAACACUGUGUCCUAGUUAGAACAUCUGGGACCAGUUCAUCAUGGUAUGGGUGUAACCCAAACCUGUGUAUUCUAUAGCCUUCCAUGCCAUUUCCCAGAAACUGUUAUCAAUGAACCAUUUACACCCUCUGCCCAUAGAGCCUUACUCCUCAGGCUGUAAACUAGGUGCUAAGAGACCUGUGAGAUAGGAGGAUGCUCUUGUCCUCACACCCUUUGUGGAGCUCCCCAC